rnacentral:lncRNA from 1 species
GAAUAAAUCAUAUCCUAACUCUCUUUCUCUAAAAAUAUAAAAGAAAGGAGUCUGUGCACCAAUAACCGCCAUAAACGGACCAAGCCAUAACAAAUGAGAAGCUAUACGACUCAAUUCCAACAUAAUUACUCUGAUAUAGCUAGCUCUUUUAGGCACUUGAAUAUUUCCUAACAGUUCUGGACCAUUUACUGUUAUUGCUUCUGUGAACAUAGUAGCCAAAUAAUCCCAGCGUGUUACAUAGGGCAAAUAUUGUAUAAUUGUUCGAUUUUCCGCAAUUUUUUCCAUCCCUCUGUGUAAAUAACCUAAAAUUGGUUCGCAGUCAAUAACAUCUUCACCGUCUAGAGUAACGAUGAGUCGAAGAACAUGCAUUGAUGGGUGGUGGGGACCCAUAUUGACUAUCAUAAGGUCUUUUCGUGUAGCUGAUACAUUCAUAGGGGCUUCCUCGAUCCAUUUUUUCAUGAAUUACUGAAAACAAAAAGAAGUUCAUAUUAAGAUUUAAGAAAUCAAAUAAUUCAAAAAAACUCUUCACAUUAACGAGUUUUUGACUCCCGAAUAUCCAACCGGCUAAUUAAUUCUUUAUAACGUACUCUAUUUUUCUUUGCUAAAUAAGACAGCAGUCGUUGCCGUUUUCCUAGAAUUUUCCACAAACCUCUCUGAGAUAAAUAGUCUUUUCUAUGCAAUUCCAAAUGUGAAGUAAGUCUUCGUAUCUUAUUAGUGAAACUUACUAUUUGAAAUUCAACAGAUCCUUUGUUUUCGUCUUUUUCUUCUUGUGAAAUAACUGAAAUGAAUGAAUUUUUUACCAUAAAAUAACCCACCUUUUUUUAAUUAAGAUUAAGAUGUUUUUAUUUUUAUUGAUAAGUAAUAAUAAAAAAAUCGAUAUUGUAUUAAUAAAUAAUAAUAAAUAAUAAUGUCAGUUCAUUUGAAUUUGAUAUACACAAAAAUCUUUACUUUGUUAGUAAUUCAAGUUACUAAUUCAAAAUUUUGUCAAAUAAAAUUACAAAUUUCUCAUUAAUCAAUCCAAUUUUUUAGUUUUUUAUUUUUUUUAUAAUUUUUUUAUUCGGUUAUAGAUAUAAAGAGAUGAUAUAUUUCUUCGCUUACAAAAGAGAACAAAAUUCUACCUAAAAUGAAAAGUAAAAAAAUGCCAUUGAUUCAUUUCUAGAUCAAGUAUCCUAUGGAAUAUAGGAAAAAUGCACCCUUACCAUUACAAAAUUUCAACCGCGGAUAGAUACAUAUCCUUACCAUACCGAACCGGCUGGAAUUAUUAGUGUCGAACCAAUAACGAUUCAUACAAGCUAAAUCUUCUAAUCGAAAAUGGGGCCAAAGAAAAAAUUUGAAUUUAAUUAGUUUAUUUUUCUCUUUAUCAAAAUCUUUGCUUUUAUCAAAAACGGGACCACAGUUUUUUUUGUUAUUACCAGUGCAAAUUUUGGUAUUUAUAUAAAUAUUGUUUUUAUCUUUAAAUUGAAAGAAAUAGAAUUCUUAAUUCUCUACGACGUUUCAGGGAUAAAACAUUUUUAGGAACAAGUAAAUUAUAACCAUUUUUGUCUCUAUUUCCAAUUAUACCUUGCUGCCUUUCAAUAGAAAUAGAAUCGAUUUUAUCUCUGUAUUGUUGAUUUAUUUAUUGUUUGUUCUUAUGAAAUAAUAAGAUACUUAUGGUUUGAUACAAAAGAAAUUGUCCAUUAUUUUUUACUGAUAGACGAAUAGGUUCGAUAGUAAAUAUUCUCUUUUUCAUCAAUUCUGUAAGAGUUAAAUCCUUCUGAAUCAUCAAAAUAUUCAGACUUAUUUCUUGCCUUUGAAUACAAGAUAUAAUAAUUUCGCGUGGAUUUGUCAGUUUAAGCAGGAGACAAUAUACUUUGAUAUUAUUGAUUAUUUUUUGAUUUAAAGAACCAUUCCAUCUUAAUUGAAAAUAUAAAUAUCGUUUUAGAAAGAAAUCAAAUUCUACUUCCGUAUGACUUUUGUUUUUCUUUUUUAUGUCUAUAUUUUUUCAUAUCUAAUUCCAUAUAAUCUUUUUCAAUAUCUUUUUUUUGAUUGGAUGAAUUGACUUCUUGAUCUUGGUGAAUUGUAAUAAAAAAAAAAUCUUUCUUUUAUCAAUUUUCUCAAUUAUUUGAUACUUAGUAGUCUUAGUAUUUUUUUUAUGUUCGCUUCCGGUAUCGAUCCAGGAUUCAAUCUCGACCUUCUCUCUAAGACAAAAAUUGAGAAUUUUCCAAUCAAAAUAUUUUCUAUCUAGGCUUUUCGCCAUAUCGAUAAUAUCAUCUUCCGCUAGAUAAUUAUUGAUAGGAAUACCUUCUAACAUGUCGAAAAAGUUACUUUUAUUUGUGUUGUAAUUAUAAGAAAUCUUUUGUUUAUUAUUUAUUUGUAAUGGUGAUCCAUAAAUAUAUGAGUCCUUAUUUUCAUAAUUAAUAGAUUUAUAUGAUAAAAGAUUAUAUUUAUAUAGUGUUUUUUAAAAUUAUUUUUUUGAUUCGGUAAUGAGUCUGCCUCAAAAUCUUUUUUUUUCGUAAUGAAUUAAUUUGUCUUUUUCAUAUAAAUUCUAUUUGUUUAAUUUUUUGUUUUGAACCAUAGGGUGUUGGUAUUGAUUGAUUCUAUUUCGCCAUUUUUGUGGUAUUAAUCUAGACCAUCUAAUCUGAGAUAAAUCGUAUUUAUAUUGAUAAUGACUCCUUAACCAGUUUUUCCAUUGAUUCAUUACAAAAUUUCUAACAUUUUUUUCUUUUAAUUCGAAAUUAAAUAGCCCUUGGACUCUAAAAUAAUCCUUUAUUUCAUUCUUUUAAAAAAGUACAUGAUAUUGAAGGAUAGAUCUUAACUUAUAUAAGUUAAUAAUUUUGAUUUGCGAUAAUUUGUAAAAUACAUAUGCUUGUGACAAGGAGGAUAUGUCGCAAAGAAUCUGUGAAUUCUUAUUAAUAACAUCAAUAUUGCUAUUAUUAAGUGACUUUUUAAUAUUUAUAAUCGAAAUAAAGUAAAUUGUAUUUUGGUUUGUUUUAUCAAAUUUUUUUUAUUUUCUUCAUUAUUGUAAAUGUAUUUAGUAACAAUUUUUUUUUGUUGAUUCAAGAAAAAGCUGUGCAUUGAUCCUCGGAAUAUUAAUGAUACCUAAAAGGAUAUUUAUGUAUAUCCUUUCAAUCAAAAUUUUUAUAAAAAAAUGGAAUUUAUGCGCUAAUUACGCAUUUCUUCUUUUUAAUAUCUGUGAAAUAUUUUUUGAUGAUUUUAAUUUUAAUGUUUUAGCAUUAUAACUUAUUUUGUUAGGACUAAUAUUUAUCUCCGAGGUUAUAAUUUUUUUUCCCUUUCUUUUGAAAUUUUUUCUAUUUGAUUUAAGAUUAUCUUUCGUCUAGCAGAAAGAUCUUUCAUUUUUUUUUCUGUCAAUGAAAAAUUUGUCAAAACCAUAGAUCGCGUUGAGGUGGACAUUUUCUGACUCGCCCGAUUAUUCUUAUUGAUUAGCGAAUCUUUUUCUUUUUAGUUGCAUUCAAUUCAUAUACUUCUUUAACUCCAGAUAAUAGAAUUCGGUUUCUUUUCGAUUUUUCAAAUUUGUUUAUUUUGUUUAUUAUGUCUUUUCGAAAAAAAGAGUUUUGGAUGACCCAGUUUGCUUUUUCUUUUGAUAAAUUUUGAAAUAAUUUUCUUCUUUCUUCUAAAGUUCUUCUAAUUUGAAAACCCUUUUUUCCAUUUUUCUAAUUUUUUUUUUCAAGUUUUUUAAAGAUGGGUUCAAAAAGUGAAAGCCGUUUUUGGGGAAAACCAAAAGGCAGUUCAGCCUCCAUCCCCAAAACUGUUAAAAAACAAAAAUCAUUUCUUUGUACUUUCUUUUUCAUUGGAUCUUUAUGAGGGAAUUUUAACUUAGAUCUGUGCCAAGGUUUUAGACGAAAAGGAAAUAGGAUCUUUAUUUGAAUCCCGUCUGUUAACCAGUUUUUUGGAAAUUCUUUUUCUGAUAAUUGAACUCCAUUAUAAGUGCAUUUAAUAUACAUUUCUACUCCAAUCCUUUAAAUCCUCCGACCAUUCGGGAAUUUGAAAAAAUAGUAUACGAAUGCAAUUUUUAGCUAUUAUUAAUAAAGGUAAUAUAAUAUAUUUUCUAAGAAUCGAUUGGGUUACUAAAAUACAACCUAUUAUUAUUUGAGCAAAAAGAAUGCUAUCCCAGGCUUCAGCUAUUUCUAUCCGAGUUCUUUCCUCUCUUUUGUCAUCUUCUCUUGUGUCCUCGUCUUUUUUUUUACUUUCUUUUAUUUUUUUCUCUGUAUAAGUAUAAUAUGAAAUUAUGAAUUCUGCGUUUUUACACAUCCAAUUUAUAAACAUUGUUUUUAUUAGUUCGAAAAUAUCAAAAGAAAAAAAAAGAGAUUUGUCUAUUCUGUCCAAAAAAAGGGGCGAAUGCGCAUUUGCUUGAAACAGUUCAAAAAUAGUUAUUUUGCGUCUUUGUGCUCGCAUGGAUCCUUUUAUUAUGUCUCGACGAAAGUCUGAUUGUUGCGAAUAACGGAUCAAAGUAACUUCGUCUAUUUGGUCAAAAUCUGUCAUAUCUUUGGUAUUAUUAUAAGUAGCUGUAUUUUCUUGAUUAUCGGAAAAAAUUACUACACGUUUGGAUUUUCGUGAACGAAUUUCAUAAUCUUUCGUCAUGUUUUCUUCAUUUUCUCCCUCUUGUUGUUCCAAAUCGUCAAUUAAUUUGCAUGACCAAUGAGGAACUUGUUUAUUUAUUUCUUUUAUUCCAAGAGAAUUAUUUUUAAUUGUUUUAUUUUUUGAAUUCGCUAGAACUGGAUCAAAUACAAAUUUUAGAAUUUAUAAGAGUUCUAAAUCCAUUUUUUCUUCUUUGUAAUCUGGAAAUAAAGGGAGUCCCUUAAAAUUGAAACUUGAUGUCGAUUUUUCGGCAAAUUCAUUAAUUAAGUUUAAGAAAUAAGAAUUUCUGUUGAAAAUGAUUUUCUAUCUGUUUUUGGUUCAAAUUCUAUAUAAUUACUAAUAAGAAGAAUAAGAUGAAUUUUAUUUAUCCAAACCAUCACCGUGGAAUUUUUUAUAGAAGUUUUAUUUAUAUUUAGUGCUGAGGG